rnacentral:tRNA from 1 species
GGUUUCGUGGCUCAGGUGGAUAAAGCGUUGAUUGUACUAAAGUUGCCAUGGGUUCGAAUCCCACCGAGGCCA